ensembl:miRNA Mir7215 microRNA 7215
GCUCUUUAUGUCCAAGCUGAGCUCCAAAUGCUCUGAGAGGCAGAAAAUCGG